rnacentral:rRNA from 1 species
AUUGAACGCUGGCGGCAGGCCUAACACAUGCAAGUCGAGCGGAUGAAGGGAGCUUGCUCCUGGAUUCAGCGGCGGACGGGUGAGUAAUGCCUAGGAAUCUGCCUGGUAGUGGGGGAUAACGUCCGGAAACGGGCGCUAAUACCGCAUACGUCCUGAGGGAGAAAGUGGGGGAGCUUCGGACCUUACGCUAUCAGAUGAGCCUAGGUGGGAUUAGCUAGUUGGUGGGGUAAAGGCCUACCAAGGCGACGAUCCGUAACUGGUCUGAGAGGAUGAUCAGUCACACUGGAAGUGAGACACGGUCCAGACUCCUACGGGAGGCAGCAGUGGGGAAUAUUGGACAAUGGGCGAAAGCCUGAUCCAGCCAUGCCGCGUGUGUGAAGAAGGUCUUCGGAUUGUAAAGCACUUUAAGUUGGGAGGAAGGGCAGUAAGUUAAUACCUUGCUGUUUUGACGGUACCAACAGAAUAAGCACCGGCUAACUUCGUG